UAAAGAGACUGAAACAAAUUUAGCAAGCACCUGGAAUUGGUUAGUAAUGGGCUGUGUCAUUUUUCCUGCAUAGCUCUGCCAUCACAAUGCAAAGCUGCUUAUUUGCAGUGUUCAUUUUCACUUAAGGGCAGUCCAGAGUGGCACAUCAAAGAAGAUCUGAUGCCAGAACUCCACCAUCAGAAACAGCAAAGCCCUUCCCUGUCCUGGACAGGAUCCCCAGGUGCCUACUCUCUUCAGUGCUCACCUGACUCUUCCUUCUCAUGAAGAUCAAGAAAGAAAUAACUCCAAGUACCAACAAUUCUCCUUAAUUUUUUCUUUCUUUACAUGGAAUGAGUAAAAAUUACCCAUUUGAACAUCAAUUACAAGUUUCUUCAGUGAUUCCCAGGGAAGCUACAUUCCUUUUUCUCUAUACUACUGCAGAAUGUUUCAAGGCAGCAUAAAGACUAAUCAAGUGAAGACCUUUAGCAAAAAAUAUUUUUACUGCUGAGAGUUUAUAAAGGAAUUUUUAAGCUGCUAAAAAGUGUACACAUAAAAUGAACUUUGACAGACCAGUUAGAUUUGCUUGACUAAAUGAAAAGUAGUAUUCUAUGCCAUAGAGGAAAAAAGGCACUUCUUUUUCCCACUCAUCAUUUUACACAGGAGAAAACUAAUCUAUAGAUAGCCCAAAUGUGGAGUGGUGGAUAUGAGAGUUCCAUGGAUACAUGCCAAUAGCAUAUGUAUAGCCCUUUGCUGAUAUUAUAGGAGACAGUAUAGUACAUUAAUGGAACUUUAAUAUGAGACUGAGAAAUAUUUUAUAUUACUAUUUUCCCAUCUUUUCAUUAUGGCAUUGUGUAAGUCACUGAAGACCUCUGAGUCUCAUCAAUAAAAUUAAAGUAUCAAUAUCUAUUUCUCA
rnacentral:lncRNA from 1 species